UCUUCUCCUUUCAGUUAUCACUAUGUUGUAUAAUUUUAGAUUAUGACCAGACCUUUUAUAUACCACAUCCACCUGUUCCUUGGUGAGGAAAAAGAGGCAUUUGUGUAUAUUUCCUUAAAUUUUGUUUUCAGUUUCUUAUUAAUAGAUCCUCAGUAUUAUGGCCAUCGCCGGGCCAACCCGGGAAGGGGCCCUAGGCUGCCUGGCCGGGCAUAACGCCCACAGACGUACAAGCGGAAAGUCCAAAUGUGCGGAACCCCUACUUCCGGUUCUGAUUAUGGCCAUAAGAUACGUAUUACAUAUUUAUAAUAUAAAUUAUUAACAGAAUUUCUUUUCUAACAGAAGGAGAAAGUUCCUGGAAGAGACCACACAUCGACAAAGAAAGAUGUGAUCCACUGGACAUUUCCAGCUACAAUUUCCAUCACGAGCUGGGCAAUGGAUCAUUUGGCAAUGUUAUGUUAGCAUCAUUGCCCAACAGAAAGAAACCAGUGGCAAUUAAAAUCCUUAAGAAAGAGAACAUCAAGCUUAAAGAAAGAUAUGAGACCGAAGUGAAGGUGAUGAAGCUGGCUUGGAAAUGCCCUUUCCUGUGCAACAUCCAUGCAGCAUUCCAAACACAGCUGCAUGCCUUCAUUGUGAUGGAAUAUGCAAGUGGAGGAAGCCUACAAGAUCUUCUAAACAACAGAGGCUAUCUGGACAUGGACUCCGUACUGUAAGUGACAUACAGCCUGGGGAGGUGCUUUUCUUCAUGUAGCAGCCAUACAUUAAAUGUGUAGUAAACACAGUAUGGCAACAACAUUUUGCCAGAGUGUAGCAGCAACACAAACACUGUACCAGUCCCUGACACACACCACCUUGUCACCAGUCCAGGUAAUCCUUGUGGAUGCCUUGGCACAUGCACAUUCCAGAGUUAAAACUAAACUUAGAUGCCAAACUCUUUUCACUAAUGCACAUGCAAACAGCACAGGGCAGCAGUAGGGAUCCCCGGGACAGAAAGCAAGAUGGCAACAUGACACUCACUAACAUUGUCCUUUGGCUGAUGUGAUUUUUAUUAUGAUCAUAAUUCAUGAUUAUAAUCACUGGAGGAUGCUUAUAAAAUUGGCACCCCAGUAAUUAAACCUUUCCUUGUCCUUUAAA